CUGUUGCAUUGUGUUAACAACUACAUUUGAGUAAAGUAAUCAACAGGCUAUCUGCCCGUGUUAAGGGAUAGUUAGGCAACGAAAUAUAAUGCAUGCCCCUACGUUUUUUUUCUUCUAAUAGUUAUCAUGAAACGAGGAAGGGACAUAGCGUCCUUUUUCCCCCCAGUAAACAAAAAAGUGAGAAAAGCAGCAGUGAGAGAAACAAAUCAAGGUGGAGCAGGAGGAGGGAGAGCCAGAGGAGUCGGUGGAGGUUGGAGAGAGGGCAUGUGAUGAAAGUGAGGGCUCUGACACAGAGAGGGAAAUUACAGAGGGUGAGGGGGAUGAAGAAGAGGGUGAGGAGGAUGAAGAAGAGGGUGAGGAGGAAUAAAGCAUACGGGGAUAGAGAGAGGAAGAGCCAGAGGGACAGCAAGUUGAUCCAUGUGGAUCAAGUACUGCACCAUCAGAUAUCAGCAAGUCCAAUAAUGAUGUACCAGUACAGCCCAACUUGAAUAUAUUCCCAACCACAGUGAUGGGGACAGAAGACUGGUCUAAUCUUCAUCCAUGGCUCGAGUAUUCUGUCAUCAUGGACUCUACAUAUUGCUAUGCAUGUAGACGUUUUUCAUUUUUCAUUUUUCAUUUCUUAUUGCCCUACCUCUCUUGCACCUGCACUCACGCUUGUACAAAAUAAAUGUUUAUAUGAUUUUAAAGUAAAAUAAAGUUUAUAAUCUUGAAAUAU